GAGUUUGGAGGGUGCCGGUCAACGAAGCCACGCGAGGUAUUUGAAAGGCAAUCAGCCCGACCGUCCCCCUAGAUUCAUCGUUUUGCGAGGUGGCUGUGACCGCUGUCGACAAGUGCUUUCUCAGCCGCAACCCAGCUGAAAGAGUUAAGGGGCCCGGGAGGAGGAGUGCGCCCGGUAGGCGGGAGAAGAGGGGGUGGUGUGGUGUGUGUGUGUUGGGGGGGGGGACGACGCGGCCAAGCGGAAACGCCGCACAGAGGAACCUCAGCGAACCAAGAAAAAAGAGAAAGUGGCAACGAAAACAAGGACAAAUUAAAUCCUCCUUGGGGAUUUCCAAUGAACUAACCCAAUUCGGACAUUCAAUAAAUACACGACUCUUAAUGAGUGUGCGUGUGCUUGCACCCCGCACCCUCAGCUGCAGGGCACCGGACCGCAAUCUGCAGUUUCUAGUCCAAGCAGCAGCCGAGAACGUAACCCGGCGGUCGGUGUGCUCCGAAUAUAAAGAACUGGCCUGCCUUCUCCCCGAUGCAUAAUUUCUCUAGAGGGCUCACUUCUGUGAACUCAGUUACAGAGGGAGCUCUCCAGCUCAGCAGCAGCCUCGCAGCCUCUGCGUGAUCUCGAGAUUAACCGUAGACGCGGGGCAUUUAUGUAGGAUCGGGUCCAGCUCCUGCUUGCCGGGGUGAAAAGAUACCAUCGUAGAAACAGAUCUAAAAGGCAGCAGUAACCAAAGCCCCAAAACAGAACGGAUUCCCCCCUCCAUUCCAAAAGGUUCCUUUUUAUAUUUAUAUAUGCGUAUAUGUAUAUAUAAAAGAUGGAACACAGAUUUCAUUGAAUAAAUCUGAGAUCUCCAGGUGCAGACGUUUGAAUAGUCGGUGCCAGCACCCCGUGUUUUCCUUUCCUGCCGAUUUUGCUUGGAUCCGGCUCAAAAACCGAAAGAGUCUCGUGGUUUUGUUUACACUGAAUGGGGAGGAUAGGAACAGAGCCAUGGGGCCGCCUUUCAUUAAUAUACAGUGAGGAUUUUGUCUAAAUUACUGCUAUGAGUUUCACAGUACACGCUUUCAAAAGCCGUCUCAGGUGGCCUGAUGAAACGGGAUAGCGCCUCAGCAAACAGAUCCACUUUCUUUCUUUGCAAGGAGGGUGUGCACGUUCGGGAAGCCCCCCAAACGCUGUGCUCCUCAAUAACAGAAACGCACUUCUGUUCCCAGGUCUGUCCCCUUCUCUCCCCCCACCCCCCACGUACUUAGUUCUCAAAUCGCUCCCCAGCUUCCCCCCUCCCACCCCACCCAAUCCUCCCCCUCCCUCUGCGGAGUGUGAUUGUUUUGUCUGGAAAAAAAAAUCCAAAGUAUAUAACAAGGGGAGAACAGUUAGUGCUGAUUUUCAUUUGCAUACAUUUUCAUAUAUUUUGGUGAAAAUAAUAGACGAGAGAGAACCGGGCUUAGAGGAGUCAGUGUAAAGAGAAGGCUAAGGAUAACUCGGCUCUGGAGAGUAGAGAAUAUGCCUUCUCUUCUGCCCCUCCAGGAACCUUACUUUUUUUUUUUUAAAC
ensembl:lincRNA Pantr1 POU domain, class 3, transcription factor 3 adjacent noncoding transcript 1